GCGCCGGUGAUGUAAGGCGAACAUCGCCGUCCGGGAAGCAGAAGAUGCGGGUUAAAAUCACGCCUGGCGCA
rnacentral:tRNA from 1 species